CCAACCCAUGUGACCAUACCAAACUGUUGCCUCGGCGGGGUCACGCCCCGGGUGCGUCGCAGCCCCGGAACCAGGCGCCCGCCGGAGGGACCAACCAAACUCUUUCUGUAGUCCCCUCGCGGACGUUAUUUCUUACAGCUCUGAGCAAAAAUUCAAAAUGAAUCAAAACUUUCAACAACGGAUCUCUUGGUUCUGGCAUCGAUGAAGAACGCAGCGAAAUGCGAUAAGUAAUGUGAAUUGCAGAAUUCAGUGAAUCAUCGAAUCUUUGAACGCACAUUGCGCCCGCCAGUAUUCUGGCGGGCAUGCCUGUCCGAGCGUCAUUUCAACCCUCGAACCCCUCCGGGGGGUCGGCGUUGGGGAUCGGGAACCCCUAAGACGGGAUCCCGGCCCCGAAAUACAGUGGCGGUCUCGCCGCAGCCUCUCCUGCGCAGUAGUUUGCACAACUCGCACCGGGAGCGCGGCGCGUCCACGUCCGUAAAACACCCAACUUCUGAAAUGUUGACCUCGGAUCAGGUAGGAAUACCCGCUGAACUUAAGCAUAUCAA
rnacentral:rRNA from 2 species